GACGAACGCUGGCGGCGUGCUUAACACAUGCAAGUGGAGCGACGAACCGGGGCUUGCCCCGGGGCAAAGCCGCGAACGGGUGAGUAACACGUGGGUAACCCACCUCGAUGACCGGGACAACCCGAGGAAACUCGGGCUAAUACCGGAUGUGCUCCUCUCUCGCAAGAGAGUUGAGGAAAGAUAGCUUCGGCCUUCGCAUCGAGACGGGCCCGCGGCCCAUUAGCUUGUUGGUGGGGUAACGGCCUACCAAGGCUGCGAUGGGUAGCUGGUCUGAGAGGACGAUCAGCCACACUGGGACUGAGACACGGCCCAGACUCCUACGGGAGGCAGCAGUGGGGAAUCUUGCACAAUGCGCGAAAGCGUGAUGCAGCAACGCCGCGUGGGGGAAGAAGGCCUC
rnacentral:rRNA from 1 species